rnacentral:rRNA from 1 species
UGAACGCUGGCGGCGUGCCUCAUACAUGCAAGUCGAGCGAACGGACGAGAAGCUUGCUUCUCUGAUGUUAGCGGCGGACGGGUGAGUAACACGUGGAUAACCUACCUAUAAGACUGGGAUAACUUCGGGAAACCGGAGCUAAUACCGGAUAAUAUUUUGAACCGCAUGGUUCAAAAGUGAAAGACGGUCUUGCUGUCACUUAUAGAUGGAUCCGCGCUGCAUUAGCUAGUUGGUAAGGUAACGGCUUACCAAGGCAACGAUGCAUAGCCGACCUGAGAGGGGAAUGGGCCACACGGAAACUGAGACACGGUCCAGACUCCAACGGUGGGCGGAAGAGGGGAAUCUUCCGCAAUGGGCGAAGGCCUGACGGGGCAACGACGCGGGAGUAUUGAAGGUCUUCGAAUCGUAAAACUCUGUUAUUAGGGAAGAACAAAUGUGUAAGUAACUGUGAACAUCUGGACGUACCUAAUCAGAAAGCCACGGCUAACUACGUG